rnacentral:lncRNA from 1 species
UUCGCCUCAAAGUUUUUAGGGUUUUUUCUCUUCCGCUGCUGUCUCCUUUUUUUUUCUUUCCUAGGGUUUUUCGUCCCCUCUCCUUUUAUACUCACUAUGUUAGGGUUUCAGAUUCGACUUAUGGAGAUCAAAAGGGUAUCCCUUGGAAGUGCUUUAAGGUGCUUCAGCUUUGUCUGCCUCAUUUGACGCUUGACCUGGAAAAGGUAAUAUGAACCACGUACUUUCCUCUUGAAUUUGCCUUAAUUCCUCUUUUGGGUUGUUUGUGUAAUUUUACCGCCUUGCUGAGUUAACGUGCUUUUUUUACUGCAGUGAAACGCGAACAAAAGAAUGGAAAGCAACAACAGGUCCACUGUGUAACUUCUUCCUCAAAACUAUGGCCACCUCUCACAAUUCGAUGUUAUUUUGCUGCAGGAAAUACGUUACGUGAUAUGAGCGUAAGGGUUGGCUUUCCAACUCCUGAGACUAAUGAGAUCUUGGGUUCUUGCUGAGAUUUAUUCAAAGACUUGGUAUUAAGCUCAUCAUGCACACUAGAAACUGGCAUCUGAGAACUCAAUGAACAUUUCCAUGAGGUGGUUGAUGUUGAGAAGGUUCCACAUGCAAAUUUUCCAUUCCUAUUCCUUCACCCUGCGACUGUCCAUAAGGUAAACCGCCAAAUCGUUGGUGAGAUUGAUACCCCUGUAACACAUUAGAAAGCAUUUGUUGUUGUUGGUGUAUUAACAGUUGUUGCUCCUCCUGCUUCUGCUGUUUGUUCCGGGAAAGUGAUGUCAGACAAAAUUUGUGAAAUUCUAAAUGAAUUGUUAUCAUUAUUAACCAGUUGGGUCCAGGAUUCCUUUUGCAGCCAUGAAGAACCUCUGCCGGUUAUUUUUGGAGCCGUCUUGUGCUGAGUUUCAGCAAGUUCUUCUAGCACUGGUGAAUUGGCAGGUUGAGAUUCAGUAUGCUCUUCUACCACAUGUGCAUUGGUAGGUUGAGACUCAGCAGGUUCUUCUGUAUUUUUAACACACUCUCAAAUUAGUCGAUCUGAAUGUGAUAAAGCAAGGCUUUUGUAAAUGAUUCCUGUAUUCUGUUUCUUUAAUUUAUUUGAUAGGUUUGGCAAUGGAAGACUUGAUGCAUUUGACGGUCUGAACUGUGCUGUUAUUGCAGGUCGUGUGUUCUGAGUGCAG